rnacentral:rRNA from 1 species
UACGUAGGCGGAAAAUUAAGUCAGUAGUGAAAUCCUGCAGCUUAACUGUAGAACUGUUAUUGAUACUGGUUUUCUUGAAUAUAGUUGAGGUAGGCGGAAUGUGUAAUGUAGCGGUGAAAUGCUUAGAUAUUACACAGAACACCGAUUGCGAAGGCAGCUUACUAAACUAUGAUUGACGCUGAGGUACGAAAGCGUGGGGAGCAAACAGGAUUAGAUACCCUGGUAGUCC